rnacentral:rRNA from 1 species
CGGAAGGAUCAUUACUGUGAUUUAGUACUACACUGCGUGAGCGGAACGAAAACAAAAACACCUAAAAUGUGGAAUAUAGCAUAUAGUCGACAAGAGAAAUCUACGAAAAACAAACAAAACUUUCAACAACGGAUCUCUUGGUUCUCGCAUCGAUGAAGAGCGCAGCGAAAUGCGAUACCUAGUGUGAAUUGCAGCCAUCGUGAAUCAUCGAGUUCUUGAACGCACAUUGCGCCCCUCGGCAUUCCGGGGGGCAUGCCUGUUUGAGCGUCGUUUCCAUCUUGCGCGUGCGCAGAGUUGGGGGAGCGGAGCGGACGACGUGUAAAGAGCGUCGGAGCUGCGACUCGCCUGAAAGGGAGCGAAGCUGGCCGAGCGAACUAGACUUUUUUUCAGGGACGCUUGGCGGCCGAGAGCGAGUGUUGCGAGACAACAAAAAGCUCGACCUCAAAUCAGGUAGGAAUACCCGCUGAACUUAAGCAU